UUUCUUUACUGAGCCUUCUCCUGUUCAGAAAAAGCACACAGAACAAUAAAAAGCCGUUCUUGUUGUUGGUACAGCUCGCUUGUUGUCACCCGCUGAGCUCCCCUCCCCCUCCACUAUCUUCCCUUUUUUACGUGUUGGCGUGGUCAGGCACACAUACGCAAGCAGGCAAACAAGGGGAAACAAAAAUAAAAAGCAAACAAAAAAACACCAACGGAUCAGUGCAAGCAGCGACUUCGUUUCUGUGGCACACCCGCUCCCUCCACCUCGCCUUCGUCUUUUUUUUUGUGCGUGCCGCUCUAGCUGUGGGUGCAUCUCUCUCUCUCUCGGCAUUGGCAAGCACUUUAUCGAGGCACAAACACGCAGAUAGAGAGGCACAGUGAUCGACACACGCCCACAAGAGCAUCGCGCGCAGGGAUACGCGCUGUUUCAUAGCAGAGAGGGCCGCAGGAAAGAAAAGAUUGACUCACGCUAUAGCGGGCGUUUCGCUCUCCUAUUCUCUCUUGCCCGUGCGCCCACCUGAGCGUAGAAGCGCACAGCGACGCACACACGAGCAAGCGCUUUGCAGCUCAAACAUGAACGUGGAACUGCGCGUCGGCAACCGCUACCGGAUCGGUCAGAAGAUCGGCUCCGGCUCCUUCGGUGAGAUCUUCCGCGGCACGAACAUUCAGACGGGAGACCCAGUCGCCAUCAAGCUCGAGCAGGUGAAGACGCGCCACCCGCAGCUCACGUAUGAGUCGCGCUUCUAUCGCAUUCUCGGCAGCGGCGGCGGCGCCGUCGGCAUCCCCAUGAUGUUCUACCACGGCGUCGAGGGUGAGUUCAACGUGAUGGUGAUUGAGCUGCUCGGCCCCUCGCUGGAAGACCUCUUUUCCUUUUGCGGUCGCCGCCUUUCGCUGAAGACGACGCUGAUGCUGGCGGACCAGAUGAUCAGCCGCAUCGAGUUUGUGCAUAGCAAGAGCGUUCUGCACCGCGACAUCAAGCCCGACAAUUUCCUUAUGGGCACCGGAAAGAAGGGCCACCACGUGUACAUCAUCGACUUUGGACUGGCGAAGAAGUAUCGUGACCCCCGCACGCACGCCCACAUCCCAUACAAGGAGGGCAAGAGCCUGACAGGCACGGCCCGCUACUGUAGUAUCAACACACACAUGGGCGUGGAGCAGGGCCGCCGUGACGACAUGGAGGGCAUCGGCUACAUCCUCAUGUACUUCCUUCGGGGAUCGCUGCCAUGGCAGGGCUUGAAGGCGCACACGAAGCAGGAGAAGUACAACCGCAUUUCCGAGCGAAAGCAGACGACGCCGGUGGAACUCCUGUGCAAGGGCUUCCCCAGCGAGUUCGCCGCCUACAUGAACUACGUGCGUGCGCUGCGCUUCGAGGACAAGCCUGACUACUCGUACCUGAAGCGCAUGUUCCGCGACCUCUUUGUGCGCGAGGGCUACCACGUCGACUACGUCUUCGACUGGACGCUGAAGCGCAUUCACGAGAGUCUGCAGGAGCAGCAGUCGUUCCCUGGCGGCAGCAACGGUGGCGGCGCUGCAGGCAACGGCUCCCCGGUGAACCAAAGCCCCGCACAGGGCGGCAACGGUGGUGCUCCGAACAGCGCUAACAACCAGGAAUCGGGUGCGCAAGAACAGCAGUAGUGAAGCGUGCACGAUGCGAGUCUUUGAAAAAAAAAAGAGAAAAGGGGAAGAGGAGUAGAUGGAAGAGUACUGUGGAAGAGAUCGCAACGGAAAAUGCUCUUCUAAUGCGGAGUGUCAUGCGGAUGAGGCAACAGAGUGAAAGCUGCUGGCGUUCGAGUCGCACAUGACCUUCUCCUCCGUAAUCCCAUACGCAUCUCUCGUCUUCUUGCCAUUUUCCAUGUUGUCGAUCGAAACAUCGCCUCUGCCCUGCCUCUGUGUACGCGCGUGCAUGUUGAAUGGGUCGUGCGGCGGGUGUGCUUCUCUUCCUCUCCGCAAG
rnacentral:misc_RNA from 1 species